UUUUUUUAAAGGUAAUAUUACCCGGGUAAGAAGAGUAUGUUUUGAACCCAAAGAUUGGCCGGUAUUUAUUCUUUUAAAGGAACCUGUCCUGUAAUUGAUAUUCCCCGAAGAAAAAUACCUAUCCUUGGAAUCCAUUGGAAUACCUCCGUCAUCAGAUAUCUUUUUAGAGGUAAUAUUCAAGAUAUCCAUAAUAUAAGAUGUCAGGCAAGGUGCAAUUUAUGGGUAAGUAGAGAUGGGUUCAAUAAUUUAUUUAUCCGGAUUUAUUUGUUACUAUUAACAUAAUGAAGGUGGAUUUAAAAGUAAAAUUAUUUUCUUAAAUAUUUUGACUUUAGCUCUUAAAAUAUGCACACAUCGCCCGUCGCUCUUAUUUUAAAAUAAGAUAAGUCGUAACAUAGUAGAGGACCGGAAGGUGUCUCUAGAA
rnacentral:rRNA from 1 species